AGUUACAUCAUUGAGAACGUCAAGGCAAAGAACUGGGACAAGUAAGGCAUCCCCCUGGAUCAGCAGAGGCUAAUCUUUCCUGGUAAACAGCUGGAAGAUAGCUGCACCCUGUCUGACUACAACAUCUGGGGAAAGUCUACCCUGUACCAGGUGCUUUGGCUCAGGGAUAGGAUGAAAAUUUUUCUGAAAACUAACCAAGACCAUCUUCUUUGAGGUAGAGCCCAGUGAUACCAUC
rnacentral:lncRNA from 1 species